AACGAACGCUGGCGGCAUGCCUAACACAUGCGAGUCGAACGAGACCUUCGGGUCUAGUGGCGCACGGUUUCGUAACGCGUGGGAACCUUCCCUUAGGUUCGGAAUAACUCCCCGAAAGGGGUGCUAAUACCGGAUAAUGUCUUCUGACCAAAGAUUUAUCGCCUUUGGAUGGGCCCGCGUUGGAUUCGCUAGUUGGUAGGGUAAAAGCCUACCAAGGCGACGAUCCAUAGCUGGUAUGAGAGGAUGAUCAGCCACACUGGGACUGAGACACGGCCCAGACUCCUACGGGAGGGAGCAGUGGGGAAUAUUGGAAAAUGGGCGAAAGCCUGAUGCAGCAAUGACGCGUGAGUGAUGAAGGCAUUAGGGUUGUAAAGCUCUUUUAACCGGGAUGAUAAUGACAGUACCGGGAGAAUAAGCGCCGGCUAACUCCGUG
rnacentral:rRNA from 1 species